rnacentral:lncRNA from 1 species
GCCUAAAAUUCAACUUUAAAAGAAAAGGAGCUCUUAAAGGGAAACGACUUUGGGCUCACGUAGGCAUAGGAGAAUGAAACUUCUGUACAUUUUAAUCUGAAUAAUUCUUCAGGAUUUAAAAUUAAUUGGCUCUGGCUUGGUUGGGCUGUACUCGGAUCUCGCCGCCUCUGCAUUUCCCGAGUCACUGGUGAAGAGGUGAUGAUUUUUUUUUUUUUGAACUGGGUUUAUGUGCGUCCCCCUCACCCCCUCCUCUCUCUCUCUCUUUUUCUUUCUCUGUCUCUGUCGUCUCUCUCGCUGCCUUUUUAAAAAUGAGGAACCAUUCUCUGAACGUUUUGGACAAGAGCACAGAAUUGCUUCUUAAGUCAGCCCAGCGCGGUUGCAAUAGACAGCAAAAAGGUAAACGUUUGCCUGAAAUCCGCACGCCAGCUCCACCACCCCGCCCGAUGACUCUAUUACAAAAUCAAGAAGACAUGGACUUCUACGACUGGAAGGAAAAUUGAACAUUGGUCCAAAUUCCUGCUGAACCCAGGGUUUUGGAGAUGGACAGAUGAGUGCAGAUGAAGACUGAGAAAUUUCAGGAGUUGCAGAUUUAAGGGUUAAAAAAAUGUAUGGCAUACUUUACCAAGAAUCAAAGAUUGUGCCUGGCAGCAUAAUUGACAGAGAGAAGCUGAGCAAGGAGCCUGUUGCCCAGCACAGAAUCACAGGACAUCAGAUCCAGGUGCACAGAAUACCCGGCACCUCCGCCAGAGACACACAGCCCUCUUCCUGGGGUUGUGGAGGGGGGGGCAGUUGUGGCUUGCACCCGGCCAAGGAUUUUCAGCUCAUGGGUGUUGCCCUGAAGAAGUAA